AUUGAACGCUGGCGGUAGGCCUUACACAUGCAAGUCGAACGGCAGCACAGGAAGUGCCUGCUCUUGCCGGUUGCGAGAGGCGGACGGGUUAGAUAUACAUAGGUCUCUACUUUUUCGUGGGGGAGAACGAAGGGAGACUUAUACCAAUACCGAUCAACGCCUGAAGGCGAGAGAACUUGAGCCUUCGAGCUUGCGCGAUUGAAUGUGCCGGAGUCGGAUUAGCUAGUUGGUGGGGUAAAGGCCGACCAAGGCGACGAUCAGUAGCUGGUCUGAGAGGAUGAUCAGCCACACUGGGACUGAGACACGGCCCAGACUCCUACGGGAGGCAGCAGUGGGGAAUUUUGGACAAUGGGCGAAAGCCUGAUCCAGCAAUACCGCGUGGGUGAAGAAGGCCUUCGGGUUGUAAAGCACUUUUGUCCGGAAAGAAAACCUGCGCCCUAAUACGGUCGUGUGAUGACGGUACCGAAAGAAUAAGCACCGGCUAACUACGUG
rnacentral:rRNA from 1 species